rnacentral:rRNA from 1 species
GAUGAACGCUGGCGGCGUGCUUAACACAUGCAAGUCGAACGAGGUCCAACCUUCGGGUGAAGACCUAGUGGCGAACGGGUGAGUAACACGUGGGGAACCUGCCCUUCUCUCUGGGAUAACGUCGAGAAAUCGGUGCUAAUACCGGAUACUCCUUGCGGAUCGCAUGGUCUGCUCGGGAAAGCUCCGGCGGAGAAGGAUGGCCCCGCGGCCCAUUAGCUAGUUGGUGAGGUAAUGGCCCACCAAGGCGACGAUGGUUAGCCGAGCUGAGAGGCUGAUCGGCCACACUGGGACUGGGACACGGCCCAGACUCCUACGGGAGGCAGCAGUGGGGAAUUUUGCACAAUGGGCGAAAGCCUGAUGCAGCAACGCCGCGUGCGGGAUGAAGGCCCUCGUGUCGUAAACCGCUUUCAGCAGGGAUGAAAUUGACAGUACCUGCAGAAGAAGCCCCGGCUAACUACGUGCCAGCCGCCGCGGUAACAC